GGGUUGUGAGGUUAAGCGACUAAGCGUACACGGUGGAUGCCCUGGCAGUCAGAGGCGAUGAAGGACGUGCUAAUCUGCGAAAAGCGUCGGUAAGGUGAUAUGAACCGUUAUAACCGGCGAUGUCCGAAUGGGGAAACCCAGUGCAAUUCGUUGCACUAUCGUUAACUGAAUACAUAGGUUAACGAGGCGAACCGGGGGAACUGAAACAUCUAAGUACCCCGAGGAAAAGAAAUCAACCGAGAUUCCCCCAGUAGCGGCGAGCGAACGGGGAGCAGCCCAGAGUCUGAAUCAGCUUGUGUGUUAGUGGAACGGUCUGGAAAGUCCGACGGUACAGGGUGAUAGUCCCGUACACCAAAAUGCACAGGCUGUGAACUCGAAGAGUAGGGCGGGACACGUGGUAUCCUGUCUGAAUAUGGGGGGGACCAUCCUCCAAGGCUAAAUACUCCUGACUGACCGAUAGUGAACCAGUACCGUGAGGGAAAGGCGAAAAGAACCCCGGCGAGGGGAGUGAAAAAGAACCUGAAACCGUGUACGUACAAGCAGUGGGAGCACCUUCGGGUGUGACUGCGUACCUUUUGUAUAAUGGGUCAGCGACUUAUAUUCUGUAGCAAGGUUAACCGUAUAGGGGAGCCGCAGGGAAACCGAGUCUUAACUGGGCGUUAAGUUGCAGGGUAUAGACCCGAAACCCGGUGAUCUAGCCAUGGGCAGGUUGAAGGUUGGGUAACACUAACUGGAGGACCGAACCGACUAAUGUUGAAAAAUUAGCGGAUGACUUGUGGCUGGGGGUGAAAGGCCAAUCAAACCGGGAGAUAGCUGGUUCUCCCCGAAAGCUAUUUAGGUAGCGCCUCGUGAACUCAUCUUCGGGGGUAGAGCACUGUUUCGGCUAGGGGGUCAUCCCGACUUACCAACCCGAUGCAAACUACGAAUACCGAAGAAUGUUAUCACGGGAGACACACGGCGGGUGCUAACGUCCGUCGUGAAGAGGGAAACAACCCAGACCGCCAGCUAAGGUCCCAAAGUCAUGGUUAAGUGGGAAACGAUGUGGGAAGGCACAGACAGCCAGGAUGUUGGCUUAGAAGCAGCCAUCAUUUAAAGAAAGCGUAAUAGCUCACUGGUCGAGUCGGCCUGCGCGGAAGAUGUAACGGGGCUAAACCAUGCACCGAAGCUGCGGCAGCGACACUAUGUGUUGUUGGGUAGGGGAGCGUUCUGUAAGCCUGCGAAGGUGACCUGUGAGGGUUGCUGGAGGUAUCAGAAGUGCGAAUGCUGACAUAAGUAACGAUAAAGCGGGUGAAAAGCCCGCUCGCCGGAAGACCAAGGGUUCCUGUCCAACGUUAAUCGGGGCAGGGUGAGUCGACCCCUAAGGCGAGGCCGAAAGGCGUAGUCGAUGGGAAACAGGUUAAUAUUCCUGUACUUGGUGUUACUGCGAAGGGGGGACGGAGAAGGCUAUGUUAGCCGGGCGACGGUUGUCCCGGUUUAAGCAUGUAGGCUGGUUAUCCAGGCAAAUCCGGAUAAUCAAGGCUGAGGUGUGAUGACGAGGCACUACGGUGCUGAAGUAACAAAUGCCCUGCUUCCAGGAAAAGCCUCUAAGCAUCAGGUAACAUCAAAUCGUACCCCAAACCGACACAGGUGGUCAGGUAGAGAAUACCAAGGCGCUUGAGAGAACUCGGGUGAAGGAACUAGGCAAAAUGGUGCCGUAACUUCGGGAGAAGGCACGCUGGUGUGUAGGUGAAGUCCCUGCGGAUGGAGCUGAGACCAGUCGAAGAUACCAGCUGGCUGCAACUGUUUAUUAAAAACACAGCACUGUGCAAACACGAAAGUGGACGUAUACGGUGUGACGCCUGCCCGGUGCCGGAAGGUUAAUUGAUGGGGUUAUCCGUAAGGAGAAGCUCUUGAUCGAAGCCCCGGUAAACGGCGGCCGUAACUAUAACGGUCCUAAGGUAGCGAAAUUCCUUGUCGGGUAAGUUCCGACCUGCACGAAUGGCGUAAUGAUGGCCAGGCUGUCUCCACCCGAGACUCAGUGAAAUUGAACUCGCUGUGAAGAUGCAGUGUACCCGCGGCAAGACGGAAAGACCCCGUGAACCUUUACUAUAGCUUGACACUGAACAUUGAGCCUUGAUGUGUAGGAUAGGUGGGAGGCUUUGAAGCGUGGACGCCAGUCUGCGUGGAGCCAACCUUGAAAUACCACCCUUUAAUGUUUGAUGUUCUAACGUUGGCCCCUUACCGGGGUUGCGGACAGUGUCUGGUGGGUAGUUUGACUGGGGCGGUCUCCUCCCAAAGCGUAACGGAGGAGCACGAAGGUUAGCUAAUCCUGGUCGGACAUCAGGAGGUUAGUGCAAUGGCAUAAGCUAGCUUGACUGCGAGCGUGACGGCGCGAGCAGGUGCGAAAGCAGGUCAUAGUGAUCCGGUGGUUCUGAAUGGAAGGGCCAUCGCUCAACGGAUAAAAGGUACUCCGGGGAUAACAGGCUGAUACCGCCCAAGAGUUCAUAUCGACGGCGGUGUUUGGCACCUCGAUGUCGGCUCAUCACAUCCUGGGGCUGAAGUAGGUCCCAAGGGUAUGGCUGUUCGCCAUUUAAAGUGGUACGCGAGCUGGGUUUAGAACGUCGUGAGACAGUUCGGUCCCUAUCUGCCGUGGGCGCUGGAGAAUUGAGGGGGGCUGCUCCUAGUACGAGAGGACCGGAGUGGACGCAUCACUGGUGUUCGGGUUGUCAUGCCAAUGGCACUGCCCGGUAGCUAAAUGCGGAAGAGAUAAGUGCUGAAAGCAUCUAAGCACGAAACUUGCCCCGAGAUGAGUUCUCCCUGAGACUUUAAGUCUCCUGAAGGAACGUUAAAGACGAUGACGUUGAUAGGCCGGGUGUGUAAGCGCAGCGAUGCGUUGAGCUAACCGGUACUAAUGAACCGUGAGGCUUAACCUUACAACGCCGAAG
rnacentral:rRNA from 1 species